rnacentral:lncRNA from 1 species
CCAAAUCUUUCUUGUGUUUAUUAAUUUGAUUAUGUUGUUGUAACAAUUUUGUAGCAUAGUAUAUGGACUUCAGAUUAAGGCCUAUAGAUCACCUAAAUAACAUACAGAUUUAAAGUAAUUGAUGGUCAAACUAGUUGGUGAUUCUGAUGUAGUUAGGUUGACCUGAUGUAUGAUAUUUGUACCCUGAUAUGUAGGCUUCAAGCUUGAACCAUUAGAACACCAUAACAUCAGACAGAACUCGAUUAAAUUAAGGCACAAAGUAGCUAUCAAGCACUGCUUGGGUUUUUGGAUAACCUAGAAAACCCAGGAAGGGCCUGACAGCCACUUUGAGCCCUUAUAUCUUGCUUGUAUGUUGUAAUUUGACCCUGUUAGUUG